rnacentral:tRNA from 1 species
UGUUCUGUGGCUUAGUUGGUUAAAGUGGCGGUCUUACGAAUGCGGAGUCGUGGGUUCUAAACCCACUAGACCAC